GGUUAUAGUGUAGUGGUUAUCAGUUGGGAUUCUGAAUCUGUGUUCCCAAAACCCAGGUUCGGGCCCUAGUAGCGCCU
rnacentral:tRNA from 1 species